AGGAGAUUUUUCUGCCCUGUCAAGCUUGCUUGCUUAGGCAAGGGUCUGCUGUGACCUUAGGGUCCGUGAAGUGAAUCUUUUGGAACCCCAAAAGACUCCGCCGGACAGUACCAGAGGGGAGUUGCUCUGUGAAGCUCUGGACUUUUAACUAUCUAUGAUUGGCUCGUUGUCAAGGCGAAUUGCAGAGAGAAGUGUCACUACAAUGCAAAACAAAUUCAGAUGGAAGUUUUCGACCAGACUUUUUUUUUUUUAUUAGAAAAGGACAGAUGGAGAAAUCUGUUUCGUUCCCAUAUUCUCACAUUGUCGAAAUCCAGUGACAUUGGGAACUUAAAAAAACAACAACAAUGCCGCUCGUGUCUGCCGGAAGUUGUUGCCCAUUGAAAUUGCCUCGUUAUCUUUGGCUUCUUAAAUAAUGUCAGGGCUCAGCUGUGGAAUCUGAUUUCUGUUCCAGCACUGAGAGAUGGAAAGUUUGAAGCGGUAAUAAAGAAGAACACUUCUGACCAUGGACAGAGCAUUUUCCCUUCACUGUCAAGCAGCUGCAGCAUAUAGCUACACAGUUAGGAAUGACGAGGCUCCCUGAUAGGCUUUCUUAUUAGAACUGCGCAGCCAUUUCUUCUUUCCUAUUUUCCACUCUAAUAUCGGAAGUGAGACUUCAGAGGGCCAUAAAUCCUGCUUCACAUCAAGAAAUGGGUUGAUUCACUCAUAGUUCACUCAUCAUUUCUCAGACCUGGAAGAUACCUACUCCUGGCUUUACUGAAUGACUAUUGCAAUACUUACUGGGUUUACUAUUGUAAUAUUCACUGGGUUUAUGAAGAAUGCUAAAGGCACAAAUUCCUUUGCCUAAAACAAAAACAGAGGGACCUGCUUUACAGAGUUUUAUCACCUCAGUUUUGUUUCUCACAGAAUUUUUUUUUUUAAAGAUGGUCAUUAGUGCCAUUUUGCAAAUAAGAUCAGGUAAUUUAGAUGGAUUGACUCAAUAAAAGAACCCCUCAGUUUGCAUGACCUGAGCAAGGCUGUUAACGAUA